GCCUGUUGACCACUAGGGCAGCAGUACAUAAGUAGGCCUACUUCUUCUCGCGCUCCCACUGAUGCAUCAUUUCCGGGUCAGGUGUUUGUCUGUGCAGAGCAGCGACUGAGUGCUCCGUGCUCCAUUAUUUCUGAUUCUCUCGAGCGGUGGUAGAUGUCUGCUGCCGUGUGGGUCUUUCUCUCCAUCACUCUCCCUGUGCAGGUUUGACUUUGAAAACAGGGAACGCUCAUCAGCUGGCCGAAAUCUACAGGUGGUGAUUCACGUGACUCCACCACCAGCUGAUUGGGGCCGCUGCAACUUUGUCUGCUGUUUUGUCUCUGCUGCUAAAUGUACAGCUUGUCUGCUGCUUUGCCUACACAGCUUUGUCUGCUGUUGUGUCGAGGCUGCUAACUACACAGCCUACUCUCUGCUGUUAAAUAUACAGCUUGGUUUCUGCCGCGAACUACACAGCGUGUCUCUACUGCUUGGUGGCGCUGUUGUUGUUGGCUUUUGGGCUACAGUUGGCUUGCAUGGUGGAUUGCCGACAUCAGACUUUUAACCUGUUUAUUUCUUUAAUUUUAGCUGAAUGACUGGAGUUAAUCCUUUAGUUUGUAUUACUUUUUUGUUUUCUUUACUUUAUUAUUGUUUUGAUUAAGUAAAUUGUUUUGUUAAGCUGAUUUGUGAACUAUUUCCUGUUUUAUGUUGUAUGUUUUGUUGUACAUUUUGGGGUUAAUUAUUUCUGUUGUAACCUCCUUUGUUUGUCCUUCUCAGUGGCUGUAGGCUGGUGCUGGUGACGCGGGUGGUGUUGUGUCCUUCCUUCUUGUGUUCCGUGCUUCCUUGGAUUUGGUGAUUUCACUGUGUGUGACUGCCACGUGUGUCUGGGUGAACCCUUUUUUCUUUAAUUUAGUUUUAUUAAUUCUCCUUCACCUGCUCUUCCUACCAGUAGGCCUCAGCCCCUGAUUAGGCUCAUUUUCUUAUUUGGGAUGAAUGCUAAUUUUUAUGAUAAUAUAUACAUAUUUUAUUAAAUAAAGUAUUCUUGUAAACUGGGAACCACAUGUCUUGCCUGUCGAGUGGAA